ensembl:lncRNA
GGAUGGAGCUGCCGCUGACCAAUGAGAGUCCAGAGGGGUGGGACAGAGCUACAUCUGACCAAUGAGAGGCCAGGAGAAGAAAUGACACAAUCUUCCCCGCACUGCUCAGUUUGCAGGAGUUGCCAAGUGCUGCUCCUUUUCCUUGUAUCCUUCAAUUCCAAGUCCACAUUUUCCCCAAAGCCAAAGAAUACAGCCGUAACCACCUACAGAUCAAUGAGCAAUUUCAGUAUUUAUUUCUGACUGUGGUAAUUCCUUCAGUUCAGAGGUCACCCUUAAUGUACGGUGCCCGUUUUGAUUCUGACAGAGGUUGUAGUUGCAGCUGACUUUCCAAGGCUGCAAUACGUGGUGGUGGGACAGCCUUGGGCUUCUGCGUUUGCAUUCAUCCCACGUUUCCCAUCUCUGCCUGGCAGCUCUGCUGGUGCUGGAAGUGGACGGUAUUGCAGUAUGAAUGAAGGAGCAGCUGCUGAUGGGAGGCAGGAAGUCCAGGCUCAUGAACGCUGAGGCAUCUGCCAGUACGGCACCAGAGAACGCAGUAGGGACUUUAGGGGGGCAGUUGCAGAAGAAGAUGAGGAGUUCCCCAGCAGGAAGCCACAAACCCGGCAGGAACCUGCAGGGGAAUCGCAGCAUGUGUGGGUGCCCAGGAGGAAAUGCAGCCCCAGCGUCUGAGCAGCGCCUGGCCAUGGAGUGCUGCGGCCCAAGAACAGCGCUAUUCUGCCCUUGCCGAGAUGGCUUUCCAAGGAGGACUUGUCUGUGGGGGUCAAGGAGGUUAUUUGGGUUAUGUGGGCUCGUUGGGGUCUGUCCUCACAAAAAGCAGAGGGCUGGCUCAUCCAAAAGCUUGGUGAUUGCUUGGAAGCCCAAACCCUUCUGGCCUGCAAUAACCCCAUUGGCUCCACUGACCCCAAUUACCCCUUUGAGCCAGUGACUUCAGUGACAUCACAUGAACCUUAUAACCCCAAUGAUCCCAACGAUCCCACAUGGCCCCAUUGACCCCAAUGACCCCAAGGACCCCAUUGACCCCACCAAUGCCCAUGUUUCUAAUGAUACCCAUGACCCCAUAUGACCCCAACAACACAUUUACCCCACUGACCCCAUUAACCCCACAUGACCCCAUUGACCCCAGUAACCCCAUUGACACCACAGACCCCAUUAACCCCAGUGACCCCCAAUGGCCUCAAUGACCCUAGUAACUCCAAUGACCCAUUUGUCUCCAAUAACCCACACUGACCCCAUUAUCCCCAUUCACUCCAUUGACCCCAUUGAUCCCAAUGACUUCAUUAACACCAAUGUCCCCAAUGACCCACACUGACCCCAGUGACCCCUACUGACCCAAGUAACCAUAUUGAACCCAAUGACCCCCUAGACCCCUAUGACCCCAUUGACUCCAAUGUCCCCAUAGACCCCAUAGAGCCAUUGUCUCCAAUGACCCCAGUCUGGAAGCAGCCUGGGGGAAACGUAUCCUGCUUCCAGUCAUGCAGCGCCUGAGUGAGAGGGUGACCCAGCCUGGCUACACAACAAUCGUGUGUAUUUCUCUCUUCUGAUGCUUCACAGAACACCAUUGGGUGAGCCUCCUGUUGGUUUCUUCAAAUUUGGUACCAGUCCUGGGGACCAAAACCACAGCCUGAAAGGCUGCAACCAGUCCAGGGGCUUAAAGCCACAGCCCCAGCUAGAGAGGCCAGAAGCAGCCAAGGGCCUGAGGCCACAGACACAGGCGGGGAGCCCAGCACUGGCCCUAGGACUUAAAGCCACAGCCGGAGAGGCUGACAUCAGCCCUGGGACUCAAAGCCCCAAACACAGAUGCUGGCACAGGCCCUGGGUUUCGUUUUCUACGGGUUCCCCUGGGACUCCAUUGACCACUCGGAGGCCAUACUGGUCUUGACUGGUUUUUACUGGGCUGCACAAGAGUCAUCUUCACUUCUCCAUUAUUCAAAUAACCCCACUGGGUGACCCUGGUGGUGAUUUCCUAAGAUGUGGAUCAGGGAGUCGUCCAUUUCCUUCGCUUAUGAUGAAAGCACGGAAGCGAUGCGGGCACUCGCUGAGGUCACAAUCACUGCUGGGCUGGCAGCGUUUCCGCCACAGCUGGUGAGCAGAGCUGGUGCUCUGGUGAGCGUGCUGCACACCGAGGCUGAGCUCUGGGCCUUCCGUGGAACAGAUCACCCUGUGAGAGCCCGUCAGAAGCACCGCGUGUGCACUCGUCGGUACUCUCUGCAGGGUUCCUGUCCCAAGGGAGAUUUUGGGAUCGAGGCAGUCGCAGGAAGAGGGAAGCCAGCUCUUUGCAAGGGCCGGGGAAGUUCCUGUGCACAGAGGCCUGGGAACUUCAUCAUCCUCUGAGCCUUCAGCGGCCAUGUCUCAGCACGGAGACGACCGCGGUUCCAAUUGCUGCCGUCUGAGUGGCAAGGUAUGGCUGGGCUUCUUCUGCUUGCUUCUUCCUUUCUCUUGUUCUCAAGGGGAAGGG